GACGAACGCUGGCGGCGUGCUUAACACAUGCAAGUCGAGCGGUAAGGCCCUUUCGGGGGUACACGAGCGGCGAACGGGUGAGUAACACGUGGGUGACCUCGCCCUCCAGCUCUGGGAUAAGCCUGGGAAACCGGGUCUAAUACCGGAUAUGACUCCAUGACGCAUGUUGUGGGGUGGAAAGCCUUGUGCGGCUGAGGAUGGGCCCGCGGCCUAUCAGCUUGUUGGUGGGGUGAUGGCCUACCAAGGCGACGACGGGUAGCCGGCCUGAGAGGGCGACCGGCCACACUGGGACUGAGACACGGCCCAGACUCCUACGGGAGGCAGCAGUGGGGAAUCUUGCGCAAUGGGCGAAAGCCUGACGCAGCGACGCCGCGUGAGGGAUGACGGCCU
rnacentral:rRNA from 1 species